rnacentral:rRNA from 1 species
GACGAACGCUGGCGGCGUGCUUAACACAUGCAAGUCGAACGCUGAAGACCUGGCUUUUGUUGGGUUGGAUGAGUGGCGAACGGGUGAGUAACACGUGAGUAACCUGCCCUCUUCUUUGGGAUAACGCCCGGAAACGGGUGCUAAUACUGGAUAUUCACUGAUCUUCGCAUGGGGGUUGGUGGAAAGGUUUGUUCUGGUGGGGGAUGGGCUCGCGGCCUAUCAGCUUGUUGGUGGGGUGAUGGCCUACCAAGGCUUUGACGGGUAGCCGGCCUGAGAGGGUGACCGGUCACAUUGGGACUGGGAUACGGCCCAGACUCCUACGGGAGGCAGCAGUGGGGAAUAUUGCGCGAUGGGCGAAAGCCUGAUGCAGCGACGCCGCGUGAGGGAUGGAGGCCUUCGGGUUGUAAACCUCUUUCGCUCAUGGUCAAGCCGCAACUGUGGGUUGUGGUGAGGGUAGUGGGUAAAGAAGCGCCGGCUAACUACGUG